rnacentral:rRNA from 1 species
UACGUAGGGUGCGAGCGUUGUCCGGAAUUACUGGGCGUAAAGAGCUCGUAGGUGGUUUGUCGCGUUGUUCAUGAAAACUCACAGCUCAACUGUGGGCGUGCGGGCGGUACGGGCAGACUGGAGUACUGCAGGGGAGACUGGAAUUCCUGGUGUAGCGGUGGAAUGCGCAGAUAUCAGGAGGAACACCGGUGGCGAAGGCGGGUCUCUGGGCCUUACCUGACGCUGAGACGCGAAAGCGUGGGGAGCGAACCGG